ensembl:lncRNA
AGUGUUGAACCUAGCAUGUUUGUGAAGAGUUAAUCUAGCCAGUUUAAAAAAUUUUUUUUUUAAGUUUCAUUUUAACUAAAGAGUUACUCUAGCUCAUUUUAACAAAGAAGUUACUCUAGGCCAUUUUAAUCUAAGAGUGCAUUAACACUAAUUACAGUGUAAAAUGUUCUUUGUGCAAUUAGUUGUCACACUGCUGACUAUUUCAUUUUUAGCACAAACAACCUUCACAUAUGAUCUUCAGGAUACAAUUAAGAAGCUUAGAAGUGAAAAUGCAUACCUGCAACAUCGACUGGAAACCCUCACCCAAGCACUGCACGAGCUGAAAAGACUACUGGAUCACUCAAGAGAUCGUGAAUUUUCAGAAACCAGUGUAGCUCAUGACAGUGACCAGUUGCAUGCCUGGAAUGAGUGGAUUCAUAAUGGUAUAAGUGCUGAGACACAUCACCUGAUUGAGCAAGCAUUCUGUUUGUCAGAUCAUGAUUUGGCAAGCACAUUACUUCCAGCACACAUUCUCAUUCUUUUGUCCUGUACCAUCAUGUGUAAUUUAUUUGUGUUCUAGCUAUGUGACAUGACUGCAGGCCACUGGCACAUUAGUGUAUAAAUGCUGCAUUGAACAGACUACAUUUGUCAAAGUUCAGCAAAAAUGAAAAUGUUCAUUUGAUGUAAUAUACAGGUGAUUCCAUGCUUAUGGCACCGUUUAACUCUGUUUAAAAAUUAACCUUUAUUAUAAUAAUUUUUAACAUUGAAUUUAAGAAAAAUAUGCAUUUAAAAUGUGCAAUCUUUCAAAAAAAAAAAUGUUGUUUCAUCUUUGUCAGCGAUCUCCAAGGCUUCUUUGCUGACAAUGGCUCCAUUUUGCUUUUUAAAAAAAGAUUUCUUUUUUAAAGUAAAUGUAAACACAUUAAAAAAAAAAAAAAAAAAGGUUAGCUAGUAUCCAUGCUAGUGUAAUGACAGCAUUAAGAACAUUCUGUUGAUUUAAAUAAAAAUGUUUACUUUCAAUUUACAAUUUGGGUGACAGGGUUGUUUGCGAAGUGAUCUUGUAAAUCAUUAUCAUAAUGUCAGUUUUUAAAAAAAAAACAUUUAAAGAAUGAGAGAACUUACUUUUCCUCUUCCCAUGAACUUUAGGAAAUUAGGAUGAUGCACCCUCCUGUAUUGGAACAUUCCAAUUAUUUCAUAGGGGUUCUUGAGGUAAUAGGGUUGAGUACAUGUGGCACACUAAAAUAUUCAAUAUCCUUUAUUUAAUAACCGUUAAUGUAUGAUUAUUGAAAAGAAUGCUUGUUAAAUAAAUAUGACUUUUGAAGUAUUUUAAAGAAUAUAUUUCAAGCUAAAGUGUAGGUUGUGGAGAGUGCCACUUAAUCUACAGUAUGUUUAAAAUAAUGUUUACAUUUACACACAUGUAAAUAUUAUAAUCAGUGGGACACAAGUUGAACCAUAACUGUGAGAUCACCCAUGUAAUUUGUGUAGUGCUUCCAUAAUACAUAAGCAUCUUAGCAAGAUUCAAGAGUCUUGAGUAUGUUGAAUCAGCAUUUUUGUUUGCUCAUACUGUUUUGGAAAUGAAGGAGAAUAAACAUGUGAAUGAAGCAGAAUAAAAAUGUGGCUACUGUAAGUUGCCACUCUUCAGCAUUUCACCAUUAAGUUAGAGUUAGACCUAAUGAAUAAAGACAUUAGGGUUUUUUUUUGUUUGUUUUUUUUUUUGUGUGUGUGUGUGUGUGUGUGUGUGUGUGUGUGUG